CCUACGGGUGGCAGCAGUGAGGAAUCUUGGUCAAUGGUCGGGAGACUGAACCAGCCAAGCCGCGUGAGGGAUGAAGGUACAGAGUAUCGUAAACCUCUUUUGUCAGGGAACAAAGGCGGGGACGUAUCCCCGCAUGAGUGUACCUGAAGAAACAGCAUCGGCUAACUCCGUGCCAGCAGCCGCGGUAAUACGGAGGAUGCGAGCGUUGUCCGGAUUUAUUGGGCGUAAAGAGUGCGUAGGCGGGGUAAUAAGUCAGAUGUGAAAUCCUGGGGCUUAACUACAGAACUGCAUUUGAAACUGGUAGUCUGGAGUGUGUGAGAGGUAGGUGGAAUUCGUGGUGUAGCGGUGAAAUGCGUAGAGAUCUAGAGGAAUACUCAUGGCGAAGGCGACCUGCUGGAACAUUACUGACGCUGAUGCACGAAAGCGUGGGGAGCAAACAGGAUUAGAUACCCGUGUAGUC
rnacentral:rRNA from 1 species